UACGUAGGGGGCAAGCGUUGUCCGGAUUUAUUGGGCGUAAAGAGCGUGUAGGCGGUUUGGUAGGUCCGCUGUGAAAACUCUGGGCUCAACUCAGAGACGCCACCCGAUACUGCUCUGACUUGAGUCCGGUAGGGGAGUGGGGAAUUCCUGGUGUAGCGGUGAAAUGCGCAGAUAUCAGGAGGAACACCGGUGGCGAAGGCGCCACUCUGGGCCGGAACUGACGCUGAGGAGCGAAAGCGUGGGUAGCAAACAGG
rnacentral:rRNA from 1 species